AGUGAACGCUGGCGGUAGGCCUAACACAUGCAAGUCGAACGGCAGCACAGUAAGAUCUUUCUCUUACGGGUGGCGGCUGACGGACGAGUGAGGAAUACAUCGCAAUCUACUUUUUCGUGGGGGAUAACGUAGGGAAACUUACGCUACUACCGCAUACGACCUACGGGUGAAAGCAGGGGUUCUUCGGACCUUUCGCGAUUGUAUGAGCCGAUGCCGCAUUAGCUAGUUGGCUGGGUAAAGGCCCACCAAGGCAACGAUCCGUAGCUGGUCUGAGGGGAUGAUCAGCCACACUGGAACUGAGACACGGUCCAGACUCCUACGGGAGGCAGCAGUGGGGAAUAUUGGACAAUGGGCGAAAGCCUGACGGAGCCAUGCCGCGUGAGUGAAGAAGGUCUUCGGGUUGUAAAGCCCUGUUGUUAGGAAAGAAAAGAAGCAGGUGAAUACCCGGCCGUUUUGACGGUACCCAAAGAAUAAGCACCGGCUAACUUCGUG
rnacentral:rRNA from 1 species